rnacentral:rRNA from 1 species
ACGAACGCUGGCGGCGUGCUUAACACAUGCAAGUCGAACGGAAAGGCCCUGCUUUUGUGGGGUGCUCGAGUGGCGAACGGGUGAGUAACACGUGAGUAACCUGCCCUUGACUUUGGGAUAACUUCAGGAAACUGGGGCUAAUACCGGAUAGGAGCUCCUGCUGCAUGGUGGGGGUUGGAAAGUUUCGGCGGUUGGGGAUGGACUCGCGGCUUAUCAGCUUGUUGGUGGGGUAGUGGCUUACCAAGGCUUUGACGGGUAGCCGGCCUGAGGGGGUGACCGGCCACAUUGGGACUGAGAUACGGCCCAGACUCCUACGGGAGGCGGCAGUGGGGAAUAUUGCACAAUGGGCGGAAGCCUGAUGCAGCAACGCCGCGUGCGGGAUGACGGCCUUCGGGUUGUAAACCGCUUUCGCCUGUGACGAAGCGUGAGUGACGGUAAUGGGUAAAGAAGCACCGGCUAACUACGUG